GGAUAAAUAUGAAAUUAGUGUGGAAUGCCAUAUGAAAGUGUGAUGGUUUGAGCAUGUGAUAUGUUGACAUUACAAAGUCAUGGAUUAAUCAUGUUUGUGAGUAUUUAAGUGACUAAAUAGGCUAUGUUGCAUGCCAUGAAGUGAGAUUAUGUAUGUGAGUGUUUAAGUGUGGAAAAUGGCUUGGAAAUUAGCCAGAAUUUGUCCACACGGGUAUGUGUCUAGGUCGUGCGUGACAUACGGUCUGCCCCAAUGGGCGUGUAGUCCUGC
rnacentral:lncRNA from 1 species